GUGCUCCCACUGGCUCACAUGUACUGAGGUUGGAGCAAUACACAGAUUAGCAUGGCCCCUGUGCAAGAAUGACUGAUGUGCAAAUCCAUGAACUGUUCCUUUUUUUU
rnacentral:snRNA from 1 species